rnacentral:rRNA from 1 species
AGAACGAACGUUAGCGGCGCGCCUAACACAUGCAAGUCGAGCGAGAAAGGGCUUCGGCCCCGGUACAGCGGCGCACGGGUGAGUAACACGUAGAUAAUCUACCCCUGAAUGGUGGAUAACCCUCCGAAAGGAGAGCUAAUACAGCAUAAGACCACGGUUUCUUUGGAGACUGAGGCCAAAGCGGGCCACUUCAUGAAAGCUCGCGUUUGGGGAUGAGUCUGCGGCCCAUCAGCUAGUUGGCGGUGUAAUAGACCACCAAGGCUAAGACGGGUAGCUGGUCUGAGAGGAUGAACAGCCACACUGGAACUGAGACACGGUCCAGACUCCUACGGGAGGCAGCAGUGAGGAAUUUUCCGCAAUGGGCGAAAGCCUGACGGAGCGACGCCGCGUGUGGGAAGAAGGCCUUCGGGUCGUAAACCACUGUCGAAGGGGAAGAUAUUGACGGUACCCUUGGAGGAAGCCCCGGCUAACUACGUGCCAGCAGCCGC